rnacentral:piRNA from 1 species
UCUUCUGCCUACUAUCAAAAUGGCAACAAGC